rnacentral:rRNA from 1 species
GCCUCAUACUCGGGGAUAGCCUUUCGAAAGAAAGAUUAAUAUCCGAUAGCAUAUAUUUCCCGCAUGGGUUUUAUAUUAAAGAAAUUCGGUAUGAGAUGGGGAUGCGUUCCAUUAGUUUGUUGGGGGGGUAACGGCCCACCAAGACUACGAUGGAUAGGGGUUCUGAGAGGAAGGUCCCCCACAUUGGAACUGAGACACAGUCCAAACUCCUACGGGAGGCAGCAGUGAGGAAUAUUGGUCAAUGGACGCGAGUCUGAACCAGCCAAGUAGCGUGAAGGAUGACUGCCCUAUGGGUUGUAAACUUCUUUUAUAUGGGAAUAAAGUUGUCCACGUGUGGAUUUUUGUAUGUACCAUAUGAAUAAGGAUCGGCUAACUCCGUGCCAGCAGCCGCGGUAAUACGGAGGAUCCGAGCGUUAUCCGGAUUUAUUGGGUUUAAAGGGAGCGUAGGCGGAUUGUUAAGUCAGUUGUGAAAGUUUGCGGCUCAACCGUAAAAUUGCAGUUGAUACUGGCAGUCUUGAGUGCAGUAGAGGUGGGCGGAAUUC